rnacentral:rRNA from 1 species
UACGGAGGGUGCGAGCGUUGUCCGGAAUCACUGGGCGUAAAGGGCGCGUAGGCGGCCGUGUAAGUCGGAUGUGAAAUUUCGGAGCUUAACUCCGAAACUGCAUUCGAUACUGCCGUGCUUGAGGACUGGAGAGGAGACUGGAAUUUACGGUGUAGCGGUGAAAUGCGUAGAUAUCGUAAGGAAGACCAGUGGCGAAGGCGGGUCUCUGGACAAUUCCUGACGCUGAGGCACGAAGGUCAGGGGAGCAAACGGG